rnacentral:rRNA from 1 species
GUUUUGAUCCUGGCUCAGAACGAACGCUGGCGGCAGGCCUAAAACAUGCAAGUCGAACGAACCUUCGGGUUAGUGGCGCACGGGUGAGUAACGCGUGGGAAUGUGCCUCUGGGUGCGGAACAACGUCGGGAAACUGACGCUAAUACCGCAUAAUGUCUACGGACCAAAGAUUUAUCGCCCAGAGAUCAGCCCGCGUCUGAUUAGCUAGUUGGUGAGGUAACGGCUCACCAAGGCUACGAUCAGUAGCUGGUCUGAGAGGAUGAUCAGCCACACUGGAACUGAGACACGGUCCAGACUCCUACGGGAGGCAGCAGUUAGGAAUAUUGGACAAUGGGGGAAACCCUGAUCCAGCCAUGCCGCGUGUGUGAAGAAGGCCUUAGGGUUGUAAAGCACUUUCGGCUGUGAAGAUAAUGACAGUAGCAGAAGAAGAAGCUCCGGCUAAAUUCGUG